UUACGGUCAUAUCACACUGAAACACAGGUUCCCGUGCAAUCGCCGAAGUUAAGCAAGGUCGUGCCUGGUCAGUAUGGGUAAGGGCUUGGGAAUAGCAAUUGCUGUAA